GACGAACGCUGGCGGCGUGCCUAAUACAUGCAAGUCGAGCGGACUGAAUGGGCGCUUGCUCUUGUUCGGUCAGCGGCGGACGGGUGAGUCACACGUGGGCCACCUGCCCGCAAGACCGGGAUAACUCCGGGAAACCGGCGCUAAUACCGUAUAACCCCCAACACCGCAUGGUCUUUGGUUGAAAUGCGGCGCAAGCUGCCACUUUCGGGUGGUCCCGCGGCGCAUUAGCUAGUUGGUGAGGUAACGGCUCACCCAGGCGACGAUGCGUAGCCGGCCGGAGAGGACGAGCAGCCAGACUGGGAGGGAGACAGGGCCCAGAGGGAUUCAGGAAGGAGCAGGAGGGAAUCGUGAGGAAGGGGCGAAGAACAGAGGGAGAGGGGCGGAGGGAGGGAGGAAGGACGUCGGGUGGGAAAGCACGGUUGUGAGGGAGGAAGGAGCGCCGGUUGAAGAAGGCGGGGGGGUGACGGUACCUGAUGAGGAAGCCCCGGCUAACUACGUG
rnacentral:rRNA from 1 species